UGCAAUUUUCUAAUUUUGGUGUCCCAGC
rnacentral:piRNA from 1 species